GAUGAACGCUGGCGGCGUGCUUAACACAUGCAAGUCGAACGGAGCUUGUUGGAUAGAGGUUUCGGCCAAUUGAAAACAAGCUUAGUGGCGGACGGGUGAGUAACGCGUGAGGAACCUGCCUCGGAGUGGGGAAUAACACAGUGAAAAUUGUGCUAAUACCGCAUAAUGCAGUUGAGUCGCAUGGCUCUGACUGCCAAAGAUUUAUCGCUCUGAGAUGGCCUCGCGUCUGAUUAGCUAGUUGGCGGGGUAACGGCCCACCAAGGCGACGAUCAGUAGCCGGACUGAGAGGUUGACCGGUCACAUUGGGACUGAGACACGGCCCAGACUCCUACGGGAGGCAGCAGUGGGGAAUAUUGGGCAAUGGGCGCAAGCCUGACCCAGCAACGCCGCGUGGUUGAUGAAGGCCUUUGGGUUGUAAAAAUCUGUUCUGAGGGAAGAAAAAUGACGGUACCUCAGGAGAAAGCCCCGGCUAACUACGUGCCAGCAGCCGCCGUAACAC
rnacentral:rRNA from 1 species